rnacentral:tRNA from 1 species
CAAGUAAUAGCUUAAGUUAAGCAUUUUAUUUACAUUAAAAAGAAAGUUGUGAGAUUCAAUUUUACUUGA